GAAUUCACUAGGGAUUCAGGCCUAACACAUGCAAGUCGAACGCUUCUUACUUAUCGAACUUCGGUUCACCAAGUAAGAGGAGUGGCGAACAAAUGAGUAACACGUGGGUAACCUGCCCAUCAGAGGGGGAUAACACUUGGAAACAGGUGCUAAUACCGCAUAAUUCAGCUUACCGCAUGGUAGAGUGAUGAAAGGCGCUUUUGCGUCACUGAUGGAUGGACCCGCGGUGCAUUAGCUAGUUGGUAGGGUAAUGGCCUACCAAGGCAACGAUGCAUAGCCGACCUGAGAGGGUGAUCGGCCACACUGGGUUUGAGGGACGGCCCAGACUCCUACGGGAGGCAGCAGUAGGGAAUCUUCGGCAAUGGA
rnacentral:rRNA from 1 species